GACGAACGCUGGCGGCGUGCUUAACACAUGCAAGUCGAACGGAAAGGCCCUGCUUGCAGGGUACUCGAGUGGCGAACGGGUGAGUAACACGGUGGUGAGGUGCCCUGCACUUCGGGAUAAGCCUGGUAAACUGGGUCUAAUACCGGAUAGGAGACAUUUUUAGCGUGAUGGUUGGAAAGUUUUUUCGGUGUAGGAUGAGCGCGCGGCCUAUCCGCUUGUUGGUGGGGCAAUGGCCUACCAAGGCGGCGAGGGGUAGCCGGCCUGCGAGGGUGGACGGCCACAUUGGGACUGAGAGACGGCGCAGACACCUACGGGGGGCAGCAGGGGGGAAUAUUGCACAAUGGGCGCCAGCCUGAUGCAGCGCCGCCGCGUGGGGGAUGACGCCCUUCGGGUUGUAAACUCCUUUCGCUAGGGACGAAGCUUUUUGUGACGGUACCUAGAUAAGAAGCACCGGCUAACUACGUG
rnacentral:rRNA from 1 species